UCUGCUAUAAUGCGUGGUAUCGGAUCCUACACGACAAUGAUAAAAAUAUCAAAUAACUUUUAUUAAUUUAUAAUUCAUAUACAAUUUACAAGGAGCAUAAUCGUUUACAAAUAGACGAUUGGCUUUAGAACACAUUUCUUAAUAUCAAGUAUGGACUUUGGUUGAUGCACCUGUGAGCAUGACCCGAUAGACUGCUAACAGGAAUAUCUAUUCAGAUCUUGUUA
rnacentral:lncRNA from 1 species